CCUACGGGAGGCAGCAGUCGAGAAUCAUUCACAAUGGGGGAAACCCUGAUGGUGCGACGCCGCGUGGGGGAAUGAAGGUCUUCGGAUUGUAAACUCCUGUCAUGUGGGAGCAAAUUAAAAAGAUAGUACCACAAGAGGAAGAGACGGCUAACUCUGUGCCAGCAGCCGCGGUAAUACAGAGGUCUCAAGCGUUGUUCGGAAUCACUGGGCGUAAAGCGUGCGUAGGCUGUUUCGUAAGUCGUGUGUGAAAGGCGCGGGCUCAACCCGCGGACGGCACAUGAUACUGCGAGACUGGAGUGAUGGAGGGGGAACCGGAAUUCCCGGUGUAGCAGUGAAAUGCGUAGAUAUCGAGAGGAACACUCGUGGCGAAGGCGGGUUCCUGGACAUUAACUGACGCUGAGGCACGAAGGCCAGGGGAGCGAAAGGGAUUAGAUACCCCAGUAGUC
rnacentral:rRNA from 1 species